AGAGUUUGAUCCUGGCUCAGGAUGAACGCUGGCGGUCUGCUUAACACAUGCAAGUCGAACGAAUCCUUUCGGGGAUGAGUGGCGGACGGGUGAGUAACGCGUGAGAAUCUGCCAAAAGGACUGGGACAACCACUGGAAACGGUGGCUAAUACCAGAUGUGCCGCAACGUAAAAGAGGAAACUCGCCUUUUGAGGAGCUCGCGUCUGAUUAGCUAGUUGGUGAGGUAAAAGCUCACCAAGGCAACGAUCAGUAGCUGGUCUGAGAGGACGACCAGCCACACUGGGACUGAGACACGGCCCAGACUCCUACGGGAGGCAGCAGUGGGGAAUUUUCCGCAAUGGGCGAAAGCCUGACGGAGCAAGACCGCGUGAGGGAGGAAGGCUCUUGGGUCGUAAACCUCUUUUGUCAGGGAAGAACACAAUGACGGUACCUGACGAAUCAGCAUCGGCUAACUCCGUGCCAGCAGCCGCGGUAAUACGGAGGAUGCAAGCGUUAUCCGGAAUUAUUGGGCGUAAAGCGUCCGUAGAUGGUUUUGCCAGUCGGCUGUCAAAGCACAGGGCUUAACCCUGUAAAGGCAGUGGAAACUACAAGACUAGAGUGCAGUAGGGGCAGAGGGAAUUCCCAGUGUAGCGGUGAAAUGCGUAGAGAUUGGGAAGAACACCCGUGGCGAAAGCGCUCUGCUGGACUGCCACUGACAUUGAGGGACGAAAGCUAGGGGAGCGAAUGGGAUUAGAUACCCUAGUAGUCC
rnacentral:rRNA from 1 species